GUUGAAAUCCGCUCAGGAGUGUGUAACAACUCACCUGUCUAGUCAGGCUGCCCUGAAAAUGGAUGACGCUGAAGCCGGUUACCGAUACCAGACCAUCGUUGCAAAUGCGAUGCUUCGAUGAGUAGGCGUACGUGGAGGUUGUGACGCAGCUUUUGACGUGAGUCUGAGUGAAACAGCCUCUAGUGCAGAUCUUGGUGGUAGCAGC
rnacentral:rRNA from 1 species